rnacentral:rRNA from 1 species
UGAACGCUGGCGGCGUGCUUAACACAUGCAAGUCGAACGGGAAACCUUUUAUUUAAGCUUCGGCAGAUUUAGCUGGUUUCUAGUGGCGGACGGGUGAGUAACGCGUGGGUAACCUGCCUUAUUCCGGGGGAUAACAACCCGCAAUGGUUGCUAAUACCGCCUAAGCGCCCAGGACCGCCUUGUCCGGUUUUAACAACUCCGGUGGUAUAAGAUGGACCCGCGUUGGAUUAGCUAGUUGGCAGGGUAACGGCCUACCAAGGCGACGAUCCAUAGCCGGCCUGAGAGGGUGAACGGCCACAGGGGGACGGAGACACGGCCCAGAAUCCUACGGGAGGAAGCAGUGGGGAAGAGUGCACAAUGGGGGAAACCCUGAUGCAGCGACGCCGCGUGAAGGAAGAAGUAUCUCGGGAUGUAAACUUCUAUAAGCAGGGAAGAUAGUGACGGUACCUGACGAAGAAGCCCCGGCUAACUACGUG